AUUUAAUAAGUUAUUAAUUAUUUAUAUUUUAUUUUUUAUAAAUUAAGUAAAUUUGUGUUUUAUUAUUAUAAUCGAAAUAAUUUUUUUUAUGAUAGUUUAUUAGUACUGUGAAGGAAUUUUAUUUAAUUUAAGAAAGAAGAUUUUUUAUUGUACCUUGUGUAUCAGGGCUUAUUAAUUAUUAAAUUUAAAUAUGUUAUUCUCGAAUUUAGAAGAGCUAUACUAAUAUUUGAUUUAUUGUAAAAUAAAUAUUUAUAAUUUUAGUAUAGGAGUGAAAUGUUAAUCGUUUCUAAAUAUAUCUAGUUUUUUAAGAAAAAAAUUUAAUUUUAUUGUUUAUUAUAAAUUAACCUAUUUUUUGGUUAAUUUUUUUAAUUAUUUUAUAUUAGAAGGGAAGAGCUUUCUAUUAAAUUUUUAUAAGAAAAUUUUUUUAAUUAGUCUGUAGGAUUAGAAUUUUUCAUCAUUUUCAUUAAGUUAUAUUUGGCUAUUUUUUUACAAAAAUUUAAAUUUUCUUUAAUUUUUAUAUUAAAAAUUAAACUAUAAUUGAAUAUGUUUAUUUAUAAUGAUAGGAUUAGUAUAUUUUAUGUAAAUAAAAUAAUUCUUGUUAGGUUAAGUAAAGGAAUUCGGCAAAUACACUUUCCGCCUGUUUAAUAAAAACAUGUCCUUCUGUUUAUAAUAAAAGGUCUAGCCUGCCCACUGAGUAUUUGAAUGGCUGCGGUAUCCUGACCGUGCUAAGGUAGCAUAAUCAUUAGUUCUUUAAUUGAGAGCUGGAAUGAAAGGUUGGACGAGAAAGUAACUGUCUCUAUUUAAUUUUCAUAGAAUUUUAUCUUUAAGUAAAAAAGCUUAAAUUUUUUAAAAAGACGAGAAGACCCUAUAGAGUUUUAUAUAAAAUUUUAUUUAUAAGUUUAUGGAAUUAAAAUGUGAAAUUUUAUUUUAUAUUUGGUUGGGGUGACUGAAAAAUUAAUUUAACUUUUUCUUAUUUUUACACUAAUGAGUGAAUUUUUGAUCCAAUUUUUGAUUAUAAGAUAAAAUUACCUUAGGGAUAACAGCGUAAUUUUUCUUGAGAGUUCUAAUCGAAAGAAGAGUUUGCGACCUCGAUGUUGGAUUAAAAUAAAUUUUUGGUGUAGAAGCUAAAAGUUUAGGUCUGUUCGACCUUUAAAAUUUUACAUGAUCUGAGUUUAGACCGGCGUGAGCCAGGUUGGUUUCUAUCUUUUAGAAAAAAUAAUUUCUUAGUACGAAAGGACCAGAAAUUAAAUAUAAUAUUUAAAUUUGAAUAAUAUU
rnacentral:rRNA from 1 species